AUAAGGAGGGAGUACUACUAACCCAUGUAAGCCGACCAAGUCCAGUCACUGACAUAAUCAUUUUAUGUGGGCUUUCUCAUUUGGUCCUUAUUGAAGUAUUAAAAUCAUCUGAUCUUACAGAGAAGGAACCAAGGUGUAAAGGAGAGAAAUUAAAUAACUUGCUGAAGAUCAUUGCUAAGAACAGAGCAAGGACUCAAAGCCGAAUCUGCCUUACCCAGAGCCCACACCCCCAACCACUAGACCAGCUCCUGCAGUUUCAAUUUACAGUGACCAAUCAUCCCAGUUUGCCAGAGACUGAGGGAUUUCAAGGACAAGAAACAGUCGGUGGUGAAACCAGGACACUCCUGAGCCAACCACGACAAACCAGAAGAUAGAAUACUUGUGGUGCUAGUUUUCAUGCAUCUUGCUGGUCCUGUUGACACACGCGAUGAAGUCUUACAGAACAGUAACAGCUAGCCUUAAUUAGGCGCCUGCUCCUGGCCAGACACUGCUCUACGCAUGUGACACGUAUCAAUUCCUUUCAUCUUCACAACAAACCUAUGAGAAAACUCUCUCAGGUGGUAGAGACAAUUUGGUCCUGGAUCUAAGAAUUCAUCUCAUGGAUACCAACAAGCAAGAAAUGAAGGACAGAGCUUUUGGGGUCUGGAGCUGCCAUAGGCACGCAGGCAUUUCUGGGCUAACUACGGUCACUAUGGGAACACCCCCUACAGGGGCUCACGAAGGCCAGGUCAGAGGAGCAUAUCCAACAGGCGUUAAGGAAAAUUAAUGAUCACCCAAUGCAGAAGGGCAUGGAGGAAGCCAUCUCCUGCAGCUGAAACAAGGUGGAGAUCUGGCAUGGCCUAGAAGGUAGUAACUGGCCUCACAAUGCCUACCGAUGGAUUAGAUAAGAUCUCCAGACUCUGACCGUGAGUAUUUCUUUCCAGAGACACCGGCCCUCAGUACAUGAUCAAUGCCACAUUCAUCAGCUGCUCUGAGGACAGCUCUUCUUCCUCUUGCUGUGAGAAGUAUCUCUACUGUAGCAUCAUCCAACUCCUGCCCCCCACCCCGCCCAAUCAGAGAGAACACUCAGCUGGACCCCACCCACAUAAGAGAUACCAUCCCCUCUGAGACAUGCUCAACCCUAGGAACUGGAAAGGGAAACUGAAUACUUCCUUGCAUAGACAAGAAGUUUCCUAGCAGCACAGACAAGCCCAGGAACCAAGCUGCACUGACAUUAAAAUGCUCCAAUGUGACCGGAUUCAGUUUCACCAUCCCCCAGAUCUGUGCACUUGCCUGAUGCUGGGCUGAACGGACCUAACAAAGUCUGUGCUGCUCCCACAGCUGUGGAUCCAGAUUAUCACUACUGACGUCAGUGUCUGGCCCCUCGUGUCACCGAUGAGCAUAUCAUGCCCCUCCGGCCUGCCAUCCGCGACUUUAGUGCUGCUGAGGUGUGACCUGCUAACAAGGUGUGAUAUGGUCAGCUGGCUACUCCUAGGCUUAAGCAAACUACAUGUACAAGCCUGCCCUUGGAGCAGGCUUUGACCAAGAGGGGAGAGGAGCUAGUGAAUAAAACCCUGCCGCCUCCUCCCCGUGGAAAAUGGCUAUAAAAUGUAGUUACCAUCAUGGAUUUGCCCUCAUGUCCCAGAAGAUCAGACAAGCAACCAUACUUGCUAGCAAACAGUAGCCAGAUCCAUAAUACAUCCUUCAUAAUUAUGCUCCCUCCUUCUCUGUCUCACUCCUUUUCCCCACUUCUUCUCUGGUGUUGCUUUCAUGAGCUAAGUGACAGCAUAUAAGCUUUUGCCUCUGGAGACAGCCACCAUAAGCAACAGCUCCCGAGUCCCGGCAGGGCUCUGGACACGGCAGCUUGAGCCGUCCGGCGUGGGCCGGGGAGCCCAGGGCCAAGAGCUCCACCCCAGCCUCUGCGAACUGGUCAGAGGCUCAGAGGGCAGCGCGAGCCGGGGAAGGGACGGCAGGGCUAGGGCCAGCACCGUCAAGGCCACAGGAGGCGGACUGCCGCCACAGGAGCCCUGGGGUUCACGGCUUCACGGCCAGUUCAUCCUGGCACUGAGGGACGCGAGCAGCAGAGCACCACCCAAGGGGCAGGGGCAACGGAGAAAAUCCCUUGGAGUCCUGGGAGGACAUCUGCCCAGGGCAACCAGAGGCGGCCCAGCUGGAGGGAGAACAGGAACUGGAGAAAAAGCCGAGCUCACAGCUUCAGUUCGAGUGUCAAGACAAACAGGAAAAAAGUGACAAACACUGGGUAUAAAAGACGUGAUGGUAUGGGGGUCAGUACUGAGGCACAUUUAUUACAAAAACCAGGGAGGCCUGCCUUCUCUCCGGGUGGGCAGAGUACCAGACCAAUCCUGGGGUCUAAGGGCAUUAGGCAGGAGUAACCCCCACCAGGUCGGCAUCCACUGAGGGAUCCAAAUGCAGGGCUAGGCCGGCAUACAAAUAGGUGACAGCCCUCCACAGCUUAGACGUGCCUCCAGCGUCCUUUCUCUGUGUUGCUUUCUCACAGCCAUUUAUGUUCCAGUAAAUAAAG